rnacentral:rRNA from 1 species
AACGAACGCUGGCGGCAGGCUUAACACAUGCAAGUCGAGCGCCCCGCAAGGGGAGCGGCAGACGGGUGAGUAACGCGUGGGAAUCUACCCAUCUCUACGGAAUAACGCAUGGAAACGUGUGCUAAUACCGUAUACGUCCUUCGGGAGAAAGAUUUAUCGGAGAUGGAGGAGCCCGCGUUGGAUUAGCUAGUUGGUGGGGGAAAGGCCUAGCAAGGCGACGACCCAUAGCUGGUCUGAGAGGAUAGAAAGCCACACUGGGAGUGAUACACGGCCCAGACUCCUACGGGAAGCAGCAGUGGGGAAUAUUGGACAAUGGGCGCAAGCCUGAUCCAGCCAUGCCGCGUGAGUGAUGAAGGCCCUAGGGUUGUAAAGCUCUUUCACCGGUGAAGAUAAUGACGGUAACCGGAGAAGAAGCCCCGGCUAACUUCGUGCCAGCAGCCGCAGUAACAC